rnacentral:rRNA from 1 species
UACAGAGGUGGCAAGCGUUGUUCGGAAUUACUGGGCGUAAAGGGCGCGUAGGCGGUCAGGUCAGUCCCGUGUGAAAUCCCUCGGCUCAACUGAGGAACUGCACGGGAAACUGCCUGGCUUGAGUUCGGGAGAGGGAAGCGGAAUUCCGGGUGUAGCGGUGAAAUGCGUAGAUAUCCGGAGGAACACCGGUGGCGAAGGCGGCAUCCUGGACCGAGAUUGACGCUGAGGCGCGAAAGCCAGGGGAGCAAACGGG